AUUGAACGCUGGCGGCAGGCCUAACACAUGCAAGUCGAACGAGUGGCGGACGGGUGAGUAAUGUCUGGGAAACUGCCCUAUGGAGGGGGAUAACUACUGGAAACGGUAGCUAAUACCGCAUACCAUCGGAUGUGCCCAGAUGGGAUUAGCUAGUUGGUGGGGUAAUGGCUGACCUAGGCGACGAUCCCUAGCUGGUCUGAGAGGAUGACCAGCCACACCGGAACUGAGACACGGUCCAGACUCCUACGGGAGGCAGCAGUGGGGAAUAUUGCGCAAUGGGGGCAAGCCUGAUGCAGCCAUGCCGCGUGAAUGAAGAAGGCCUUCGGGUUGUAAAGUACUUUCGGCGAGGAGGCGUUACUCGCAGAAGAAGCACCGGCUAACUCCGUGCCAGCAGCCGCGGUAAUUC
rnacentral:rRNA from 1 species